rnacentral:misc_RNA from 1 species
UUUCCGUAGGUGAACCUGCGGAAGGAUCAUUAUUGUAUAACCGAGAUGCGAGGGCUGUCGCUGACCCGAGAGGUCGUGGACGCCCGAGUGCCCUCACACACAUCCAUCUCACCCCUAUGUGCACCACCGCGUGGGUACCCCUUUGGCUUGUUCGGAGGGGGGCUUACGUUUUCACACAAACUUUGUAUGCAGUGUAGAAUGUAUUUUUUGUUUUUGCGAUCACGCAAUCAAUACAACUUUCAACAACGGAUCUCUUGGCUCUC